rnacentral:rRNA from 1 species
AUUGAACGCUGGCGGCAGACCUAACACAUGCAAGUCGAACGGUAACAGGAAGAAGCUUGCUUCUUUGCUGACGAGUGGCGGACGGGUGAGUAAUGUCUGGGAAACUGCCUGAUGGAGGGGGAUAACUACUGGAAACGGUAGCUAAUACCGCAUAACGUCGCAAGACCAAAAAGGGGGACCUUCGGGGACCUCUUGCCAUCGGAUGUGCCCAGAUGGAUUAGCUAGUAGGUGGGGUAACGGCUCACCUAGGCGACGAUCCCUAGCUGGUCUUAGAGGAUGACCAGCCACACUGGAACUGAGACACGGUCCAGACUCCUACGGGAGGCAGCAGUCGGGGAAUAUUGCACAAUGGGCGCAAGCCUGAUGCAGCCAUGCCGCGUGUAUG